rnacentral:rRNA from 1 species
GAGUCUGUGUCGAGGUGCUGCAUGGUUGUCGUCAGCUCGUGCCGUGAGGUGUCGGCUAAAGUGCCAUAACGAGCGCAACCCCCAUCGCCAGUUACCAGCAAGUCAAGUUGGGGACUCUGGCGAGACUGCCGGCGCAAGCUGUGAGGAAGGCGGGGAUGACGUCAAAUCAGCACGGCCCUUACGUCCGGGGCGACACACGUGUUACAAUGGCAGGUACAGAGAGAAGCAAUGCGGUGACGCAAAGCGGAACUUGAAAGCCUGUCUCAGUUCGGAUUGGAGUCUGCAACUCGACUCCAUGAAGCUGGAUUCGCUAGUAAUCGCGCAUCAGCCAUGGCGCGGUGAAUACGUUCCCGGGCCUUGUACACACCGCCCGUCAAGCCAUGGAAGCCGGGAGUGCCUGAAGUGUGCAACCGCAAGGAGCGCCCUAGGUAAAACUGGUGACUGGGGCUAAGUCGUAACAAGGUAGCCGUACCGGAAGGUGCGGUUGGAUCACCUC